rnacentral:rRNA from 1 species
UCUGAAGGGCCGUCGAAGACUACGACGUUGAUAGGCUGGGUGUGUACGUGCAGCAAUGCAUUUAGCUAACCAGUACUAAUUGCCCGUGCGGCUUGACCAU